GACAAUGAGUCUGUUUUCAAAGUAGAGCCUCAGCCCCUAAACCAUCCUUUGUCCUGUUUUGUACUAUCAGAGCUGGACCUUGUCAUCACUUAACACUUGGGAUAGUGUUUAGCAUUAUGGUAGAAGGCUCUACAAUGGUCCCACAGGAGAAAGGACACUCUUCUACCUGAACCCAGUGGUUUUCCCCUUUUGCUCCAGGGAUAUGCAGCUGAAGUGCCCUUCUCUUGAGGGGUCACUCAAAAGUGUGCCCCCUGUGGGUGGCUUCUUAGAAAGUUUUAUCAGCACUCUGGAUGCAGCUUUCUAGUGAGGAGUCUUAGAGGGGGCUUCCCAGCAAGUUUCAGCGACCUGCUCUUCAUUGUCUUCAGCUGGAGGCUUCCUAGUGGUGCUGCUGGAAUUCCCUUAGAGCAGCUAGUUUCUGGCUGGCCAGGCCUGGUACUCAACACCUCAGGGAAAUUCUCUCCCUGCAGUGGGAGGCAGCUGCACCUUCUCCAGCUGGUUCCGAGCUUCAGUCUGGGGGACUUUCUCCCAGGAUGCUCUUCCUUGAAAACUCUGUUUUAGUCCUAGCAGGAGUGGCUGCCACUUACACCUGCUUUUUCUGUGUUUUUUAGAUUCUCUCUAUCCUUUUUAUUAGUAAAUUCCCUCUGAUGAAUGGAUAAUUAUUCAUAUUCAAAUUUUCCAAUUCAAACGACUGGUUUGGUUACUGCCUGCGAGCCGACAUUGGCUGAUACAGACACCAUACAAGAACCCAGAAAAAGCUGGAAGAUAGGCAUGCCCUCUGUGACCACAACAUCCUGAAAGAAUCCAUUCUUAGCCACUUGGUCCUGAGCGUGAAAGGAGGUGUCUAAGCGCUUCCUUUUAAGUUCUCAUUAGAUUUUAUUUCAAUAAAGUUGUUGCAUCCCUUUCUCCUCCUCCCCCCGCUCCCCCCCCCCCCAAAAAAAAACGGUCCAUGGUUUCGCGGCUAUAGAGGAGCCACCUGGCUGCAGCUUGGAAAUCCAGGCAUUCAUCUCCCGGCGCCAUGGCUGUGGGCACAAAUGUGUAGGAGAUUCUAGAACUGGGGGAUGAGAGAGGCACAGGGCUUCCGGGACCAUCAGCAAGAAGCAGAUUAUCAAGCCAGACAAGAAAAAGUCCAAGAAGUCCUACGAAGUCCUGGCCUUCCAGAAGUCUGCGGAUGUGCACCCGGAAGUCUACCGCUGCUCUAGUCUGACAAGAAGGACUCACUGCUAUCCAGUGACACGGGCAAGGCCACCGCACCGUGAGGGCCAAGUUGGGCACCAAGAAGACGUGGCCCUGGAAGUGGAUGCCAUCCACCAACCCAGCAUGCAAGGAUGGAGCCUGUUCUUCCACUGGCGACAGGCAGCUGAGGAGGGCAAGGCUGUCCCCUUGCCCACGUUCGAUAAGACUGUUGGUGCCCGUGCAUUCAGAGCAGGAGUACCAGCUCUGGCUUCACCAAGACACUCAAACAGAGGCAGAAACUGGCCACCUCUUUGACCUCAGCCGCUGCUUUGGUCUCCCUUUUGUCAUUCGCCAUGCCUGGGAUGAUCGCCAGCAGUUGACGGAGCCACCUGUGGAGGACUUGAAGGAGCGGUAUUACCGCGUCUGAGCAGAGCUGGCCAACGUCCAGGCCGAGAUCUGGACAACGCACAGACCUCGGGGUACCAGUGUUCGAUGCUUGGCACUGGCGACGGUGGAAGGAACAACUGAAGCAUUGCUGUAAGUUGCCAGUAAGCACGCGACGGCGGAAGAGUACCCACUAUAUAAGCUGCUCCAGAUCUAGUCCCGGCAGAAGCAGCGUAGUGGGGAGCGCGGGAGCUUCUGACGGCUGCUGGCCGGGCUGCCUAGCAACGUCCUCCUGACGCAGUCACCUCACAAAAAAGGGGCCAAGAAGCCGGUUGUUCUGAGACUACAGGCAUGACUACCUUAGCAGAUGGAGCUGCUAGGGUCUAUGGAACAGACGAUCGAGGCCUGGAACCAGUGCUGGAUGUGGAGCUGAGCCCGGAGGAGGGGUUGGUGCGCAGGCUCGGCGAGGCGCGGCCCGAGCUGGUGCAGGUGGACCAGCUCGAGCAGGAUGGCGCCGCCCGUGGGGACGAGCCCCGGACGCUGGCCCCGGCUGGGUGCUGCGAGGCUGCCACCCCAGCGUCGGUGCUGGCCCUGGCGGAGCCUGAACCUGGCCUGGGGCCUGCUCCUAGCAAGGGCACCAUCGUCUACCAUCAUCGCACCCAUUGCGUCCACGAGGAAGCGAUGGGAAUCAUCUCCAGCUCCUCUUCUCUGAAAAAACCAAGAAACCCUGAGAGGCCGCAAGGGGUGAAGGAUGCGGCUGCGUAGAGCUGAUCUACAUUGUCCUACAUCGGGGCCCUCCUUCAGCCCUACAGCCUGAGCCCCAGAAUGACUGUCACUGGGAGCAGAGCCACAGCUGACUUGCAUGGCCACACACUCAGGGUAUUUCAUAUUGGAGUUGCUCCUUCACCACGGGUCCCCAAUUAGAACAAUGAGGUAGAAGCCAAAUGGAGCUGAGACACAGUCAACGACUUCAGAGCAAACAAACCCAAGGGAAUCCUGAUCUGAGAAAAUGGAGUCCAUAUAUUUUUCUUUGAGCUGAAGGAAAGCAAAUGUAAGCAUUGUGUAAUUACUCGCUGAAGCAUCUGUAUGGUUCCUGUAGAAAAGAACAUCCAUAUAAUCCUGGUGUUGGAGUCAAAUUAUUUGCUUAUUCUCAUUCUUUGUGUGACAAGUGAGUGAUUUCCCCCUAAACCUGGACAUUCAAGCUAAAAUCUGAUUAUUAUUUAAAUUUUGUGUUUAUCAAGCUUCCUCCAAUGGCCACUUCAGUGCAAGAAGAGUGUGGGGGUGUCGUCUUGUUACCUUCAGACGAGCCGGAAGUGCAGGUUCUUCACAUGGCCUGGUUUCCCAUUGGGAUGAACGGGGGCUCUUUGUUACUGCUGGACGGGCUCAGAGUUCCAGCUCUCUCUCCAACUUCAGCUGGGACCUGGCUGGAAGCAGGAGAAGAUCUCGUCACCAGGCUUCACUGGGGCCCCCGCUGCCAGUUCCUUGGAGGAAGUGGACUCGUUAUCACGGAGUAGUGCUAAGAGCCUUGACUGCAUAGUUCUUGUUCUCACACACCCUCGGUGAGGAAGUGGAGGUACCUUGUUACUGCUGCAGAGAAGUGGCGAUCCAGACUCUGUCCUGGUCUCCACUGCAGCAUGGCACGAGAUCUGUCAGGGAUGGAAAGCUCAGUUCUCCAGUCAGCCUCUUCUGAUACCAAGCUGUGGAAGGAAAGUUAGAGUAUCUCACUGUUGCCUGCCAAGGGUGGAAGUCUUGCUUUUCCACGCAAAACUUUGCUAGAAAGGAUGAGGCUGGGGCUUACUCUACAGGUUACUCUACACCGGUUAUUGGGUGAAGGUUUUUCUCUUGUUACCUGGUCCUUCGGCUACAGAGAAGAGGCUGUACGAGGGUUCUUUUAGCAGCUUCUCCAGUAUUCAUUCUGAGAUACAUGAGACAAAAAGAAAACUUCAGAAUUCACCAAGUCGUUCCACAUAAACAUAGGUAUAAAUAUCUCCCAGUUUUGAACUUGUACUUGGUGGUUGGAAUAGGUAAAAGUACAUCUGUUCUUCUCCAUACUCUUUGAAAGUUCGAUAAAAUUCAUAUGAUUCUUGUUUUGUAAAUUGAGGUAUAAGUGAAAUAUAACAUUUCAGAUGUAUAAUAAAAUGGUUCAGUGUUUGUAUAUAUUGUGAAAUGAUCAUGAUAAAUUAUCUUAAAAAUCUUUUUAGAAAGCUAUAAUAAACUGAACAAAAUGUUUAUUGUAAUAUGCCUCACAGCAGAUAAUACUUAAUGUGAUAUAUGUCUCUGAUAUUUUACCCUGCUUUAAUGCCAAAUACUAAAGAAAAUGAUACAAACACAGAUCAUUACUGCCAGCAAAAAAUAAAUAAAAUUCACAUCCCUUUGGUGAAAUGCAAUGAUACAAACCAUGAGUUUGGAUAAUGUGGAUGACACUUUACAUGGAAAGGAAAAUCAAGAAUGAAAAUAAUUGUGAUGGAGUCCUGUGGUAUUCUUUUAAAACUCCUAUUAAAAUAUUGGAGGAUGAUGGGGUACAAGUGGAGACGUGAAUAGGUGCUUUAGGGUGACUACUGCAGUUUAUCUGGACCUCGCCUGGUUUUAACACUGAACGUCUCUUAGUCCUGGACAAACAGGAAGCGUAGUCAUCCUCACUGGACAACUGUGCUGAUUUACAGGUACUGUGCAAUUUUAAUCUUGUAAUUGUGGCUGUUUUACUACUAAUGCAUCCAAGGAAUUAUUAAAAUAACUGGGUAAAGUUCACCACAUUCUCUUACCUCAUCCAUCGUUGUAGCUGGGAGCUUGUGACUUCUAGUAACUACUGAAUUGGGUUUUCUGCUCUUGUUCUUCACCUCCUUUAGUCCCUUUGUUUCCAAACAGCAGAGUUCUUAAGAAUUGCAUUAGAAUCAAGCAAUUGGAGAGAUAUAUUUAUGAUUAGAAAACUGUUGACUAGAACCAAAGUUUAUUAUAUUAUCUGUAGAAUAAUAGACAUUUUAAAAUGAAUUAAUGUAGUUUGCUAUAUUUGCUAAAGUUAUAUUGUAUCAAUUACUUACUGGAAUCUUCAUUUACAAGAAAUAAUAGUAAUGU
ensembl:lncRNA